UGAGACAGGCUCAGCCUGUCUCAGGUGGAUGGAAUGCUCUGUGGUUGUUUUUAAGCCUCUUCUGGACAAGUUGAAAGUUUCUCUUCAGGCACUCCCAAAGAGCUCAGCUCUGUGCCUGCGCCAAUGGAUACCAGCCAUAAAGAAAACUGGAAAAGCAAAGAGCCCUGCUUGGCACCUGUGUGAGGAACCCAGCCCUCUGCACCUGACUGUGAAUGGACAUCUACUCCCAUCUCUGACACGCAUCUCCAUCUGCAGCAGAGAUCAAAGACUUUUCAAGGACGAGAAACAGCUGAGACCUUUCUAGGACGAGAAGUCGCUGACCAUGGAGGCAGACAGCUAUCCUGCUGUCAAAAAGGCCUUGGAAACAAUAUCUGCCUCCCCAGACCUCCCUUAUUAGAUAUGAAAAAUUUAACUUGGAUACCUGCUCAUCUUUCCCACCUACUGCACAAUGAUGUUCUGACUAUCAGGUAUG